GUGGAGCUCCCAUGACUGAAUCACUUUGAAAGCAGAGAGAGAGUCACCCUAACUCCUUGCCAUGUGACGUUCUGCAACAGCUUGGUGCUCUGCCAACAGGAGUGACAAACAAAUACAGCUGCUUGAUCUUGGACGGCGAAGCUCCAAAACUGUGAGCCAAAAUGGACCUAUUUCCUCCUUGAAUGCCUUUUGACAUUGCAGGCAGACUGCACUGGAGCGUGAAUGUGAGACCUUACGUACAAAGGAAGAAGGACCUGACCUUCUUACAGAACAGAAGAUCUUAUGACAAGAUUUUAUCUGAAUUUUUAAAGAGGCUCAAAAUUAAAGACUUAGGAAAAGCAAUACACACAUAUGGGAUAAAGAUAAACGGAUACAGCUUCAGUGAAGCACAGUAACUGGAAAAGAAAGAGGGAAGAAAGAGCGAAAAAAGGAGAAAUAAGGGAAAAAUAGCAAAACCAUUGAAAGAGUACCAAAAAAAUGGAAAAACAGAGAACAAGUGAGUUUCUACAAGUUUAAAGGUACUACCUAAGUUAAGCCAGUACAAUUUCUUCUUGACUUGGUCACCCCAGAGCACAGGUGUCAUUCUGCCUUGACCUCUGCAGUUCUCAUCAAAUAUUACCAGCAUUUCUCAAAAUUGAACAUGUCUGUGAGCCAUCUGGAAAUCUUGCUAAAAUGCAGAUUCUGGCCCAGUGUGUCUGGACUGGGGUCUGAGGGUUUUUAUUUCUCACAAAAUCUCGAAUGUUGCUGAUGUCUGGGGACCACACUUUGAGUGUAAGAUGUCAUCCUAAGCAAGGACAUGGUCCUAUUUUAAAAUAUAGAACGGGACUUUGCAACUGUGACACUCUGACAUCUUAGACAAGUAAUUCUUUGUUGCAGAGUUUGGUGUGCCCUAUGGAUUUUAUGAUGUUUAGCAGUUUCCCUGCCCUCUGGAAGGCAAUACCAUCCCCUCCGCCACUCACAACCAUCAAAAAUGUCUCCAGAAAGGGACAGGCAUUUGGUGCAUGGCCAAGAAGCCACUUGGGAGGGCCCGCAUCCCCAUCAGAGUACCUGGGUUCAAGUCCUGGCUCUACUUUCAAUUACAGCUUCCUCUAAUGUGCACCCUGGAAGGCAGCAAGUGAUAUAUCAAGUAGUUGGGUCCCUGCCACCUGUGUGGGAGACCUGAAUUGAGUUCCACACUCCUGGCUUUGGCCUGGCCCAUUUGCAGCUAUUGCAGGCAUUUGGAAGUGAACCAGCAUAUGGGAGCUUUCUUCUCCUCUCUCCUCUUCUCUUCCCUUUCCCUCCAUUCCCUUCCCUUUUCUUCCCUUCAUAUACCUUCUCUUUUCUAUCUUCAUCUCGCUCUAAUAAAUAAACAAAUAAAGAAAUGAAUAAACUUUUAAAAUGUUUCUAAUACUGCUAAAUUGUCCUCUGUGAGGCAAAAUCACCUGCUGAGACAUGUUGGGGGUAAUUUACGGGAAAGACCACUAGAUAAAUCAAAAGCAUCUUUGUGUAAGCAGCCUUACAUCUCAUAGCUCCCAACCUCAGUUCUGUGCCAGACUUGAACCUGACCCACGCUUGACUUAUCUUUAGAUAUAACAAUGGAGAAAUCAGUGGUGGAAGCCCUCAUGCCAACACCUCUGAUGAAAACGUUACAACUCUGCCAAACACAACCUGGCCUCCGUCCACAUGAUUCUAUCAUCCAAGAACCACCCUCUCCCUUGGUUGUGGAGCUGGCAGGAUGGGAGACUAUUCCUAGCAUCCAGAAGGAAUACAAUUCUUUGUACCUCUUAGGCUUGGAUAGAUGUUAAACUAAUACAAAUUUUUAUUCAACAAUGUUAAUCAGACACACAAAAAAUUGUAGCUUUACUAUCACCUCUGUGGUGUACCGGAGAGAUUCAUUCCUUCCUUGAACUUGGGAAAACAGUCAAUUUUUUUUAGAAUAUUUAAGAAUGA